AUAUGUUCAACGAUGUUCAUAGCAGCACUAUUUGUAAUAGCCAGAAACUGGAAGCAGCCUAGAUGCCCCUCACCUGAAGAAUGGAUAGAGAAAAUGUGGUACAUUUACACAAUGGAGUACUACUCAGCAGAAAAAACAAUGGAAUCUUGAAAUUUGUAGGAAAAUGGAUGGAUCUAGAAGAAACCAUUCUGAGCGAGGUAACCCAAUUGCAAAAAGACAAACAUGAGAAAUCAGGCACGAAGGAAAUGUCUGGAGAUCUACAAAGAUGACACCAGCCUUCAUCCAGCAGCUGGUGGAAGUAGAAGCAGACACCCAUAACUAAUCACCGAACUGAACUGGAACCCAGAUACAGAGAAGGACCAAUGAAGAGCACAGAGGUCCAGACCAAGGCUGGUGAAACCCACAGAAACAGCUGACCUGAACAUCCGGGAACUCUUGCUCCCCAGUCUGAUAGCUGGAAUACCAGCAUGGGACUGAUCCAGACCCCAGGAACAUGGGUUUCUGUGAGGAAACCUUAGAAAUCUAUGGGACCUCCUGUAGAAACCCAGUAUUUAUCCCUAGCAUAGGUGUGGACUUUGGGAGCCUAUUCCAUAUAGAGGAAUACUCACUGAGCCAAGACACAUGGGGGUGGGCCUAGGCCCUAUCCCAAAGGAUACAAUAGACACGAUGACACCCUAUGGAAGGCCUCACCAUACAGGGGGAGCAGAAAAGAUAUGUGACAGAUAAG
rnacentral:lncRNA from 1 species